UACGUAGGGGGCAAGCGUUGUCCGGAUUCAUUGGGCGUAAAGAGCGUGUAGGCGGCCAGGUAGGUCGGUUGUGAAAACUGGAGGCUCAACCUUCAGAGGUCGACCGAAACCAUCUGGCUAGAGUCCGGGAGAGGAGAGUGGAAUUCCUGGUGCAGCGGUGAAAUGCGCAGAUAUCAGGAAGAACACCCGUGGCGAAAGCGGCUCUCUGGAACGGUACUGACGCUGAGACGCGAAAGCGUGGGGAGCGAACAGG
rnacentral:rRNA from 1 species